rnacentral:rRNA from 1 species
GAUUAAGUUAUUAAGGGCGCACGGUGGAUGCCUUGGCACUAGAAGCCGAUGAAGGACGUUACUAACGACGAUAUGCUUUGGGGAGCUGUAAGUAAGCUUUGAUCCAGAGAUUUCCGAAUGGGGAAACCCAGCAUGAGUUAUGUCAUGUUAUCGAUAUGUGAAUACAUAGCAUAUCAGAAGGCACACCCGGAGAACUGAAACAUCUUAGUACCCGGAGGAAGAGAAAGAAAAUUCGAUUCCCUUAGUAGCGGCGAGCGAAACGGGAAGAGCCCAAACCAACAAGCUUGCUUGUUGGGGUUGUAGGACACUCUAUACGGAGUUACAAAGGACGACAUUAGACGAAUCAUCUGGAAAGAUGAAUCAAAGAAGGUAAUAAUCCUGUAGUCGAAAAUGUUGUCUCUCUUGAGUGGAUCCUGAGUACGACGGAGCACGUGAAAUUCCGUCGGAAUCUGGGAGGACCAUCUCCUAAGGCUAAAUACUCUCUAGUGACCGAUAGUGAACCAGUACCGUGAGGGAAAGGUGAAAAGCACCCCGGAAGGGGAGUGAAAUAGAACCUGAAACCGUGUGCUUACAAGUAGUCAGAGCCCGUUAAUGGGUGAUGGCGUGCCUUUUGUAGAAUGAACCGGCGAGUUACGAUUUGAUGCAAGGUUAAGCAGUAAAUGUGGAGCCGUAGCGAAAGCGAGUCUGAAUAGGGCGUUUAGUAUUUGGUCGUAGACCCGAAACCAGGUGAUCUACCCUUGGUCAGGUUGAAGUUCAGGUAACACUGAAUGGAGGACCGAACCGACUUACGUUGAAAAGUGAGCGGAUGAACUGAGGGUAGCGGAGAAAUUCCAAUCGAACCUGGAGAUAGCUGGUUCUCUCCGAAAUAGCUUUAGGGCUAGCCUCAAGUGAUGAUUAUUGGAGGUAGAGCACUGUUUGGACGAGGGGCCCCUCUCGGGUUACCGAAUUCAGACAAACUCCGAAUGCCAAUUAAUUUAACUUGGGAGUCAGAACAUGGGUGAUAAGGUCCGUGUUCGAAAGGGAAACAGCCCAGACCACCAGCUAAGGUCCCAAAAUAUAUGUUAAGUGGAAAAGGAUGUGGCGUUGCCCAGACAACUAGGAUGUUGGCUUAGAAGCAGCCAUCAUUUAAAGAGUGCGUAAUAGCUCACUAGUCGAGUGACACUGCGCCGAAAAUGUACCGGGGCUAAACAUAUUACCGAAGCUGUGGAUUGUCCUUUGGACAAUGGUAGGAGAGCGUUCUAAGGGCGUUGAAGCAUGAUCGCAAGGACAUGUGGAGCGCUUAGAAGUGAGAAUGCCGGUGUGAGUAGCGAAAGACGGGUGAGAAUCCCGUCCACCGAUUGACUAAGGUUUCCAGAGGAAGGCUCGUCCGCUCUGGGUUAGUCGGGUCCUAAGCUGAGGCCGACAGGCGUAGGCGAUGGAUAACAGGUUGAUAUUCCUGUACCACCUAUAAUCGUUUUAAUCGAUGGGGGGACGCAGUAGGAUAGGCGAAGCGUGCGAUUGGAUUGCACGUCUAAGCAGUAAGGCUGAGUAUUAGGCAAAUCCGGUACUCGUUAAGGCUGAGCUGUGAUGGGGAGAAGACAUUGUGUCUUCGAGUCGUUGAUUUCACACUGCCGAGAAAAGCCUCUAGAUAGAAAAUAGGUGCCCGUACCGCAAACCGACACAGGUAGUCAAGAUGAGAAUUCUAAGGUGAGCGAGCGAACUCUCGUUAAGGAACUCGGCAAAAUGACCCCGUAACUUCGGGAGAAGGGGUGCUCUUUAGGGUUAACGCCCAGAAGAGCCGCAGUGAAUAGGCCCAAGCGACUGUUUAUCAAAAACACAGGUCUCUGCUAAACCGUAAGGUGAUGUAUAGGGGCUGACGCCUGCCCGGUGCUGGAAGGUUAAGAGGAGUGGUUAGCUUCUGCGAAGCUACGAAUCGAAGCCCCAGUAAACGGCGGCCGUAACUAUAACGGUCCUAAGGUAGCGAAAUUCCUUGUCGGGUAAGUUCCGACCCGCACGAAAGGCGUAACGAUUUGGGCACUGUCUCAACGAGAGACUCGGUGAAAUCAUAGUACCUGUGAAGAUGCAGGUUACCCGCGACAGGACGGAAAGACCCCGUGGAGCUUUACUGUAGCCUGAUAUUGAAAUUCGGCACAGCUUGUACAGGAUAGGUAGGAGCCUUUGAAACGUGAGCGCUAGCUUACGUGGAGGCGCUGGUGGGAUACUACCCUAGCUGUGUUGGCUUUCUAACCCGCACCACUUAUCGUGGUGGGAGACAGUGUCAGGCGGGCAGUUUGACUGGGGCGGUCGCCUCCUAAAAGGUAACGGAGGCGCUCAAAGGUUCCCUCAGAAUGGUUGGAAAUCAUUCAUAGAGUGUAAAGGCAUAAGGGAGCUUGACU